CCGGCACCGCUAAGCGGCACCCGGACGGUGGGAUGCGGGUUGGGUGGGGUGAGCAGCUGGGGCAAGGAUGGGGUCGUCCCCCCAGUAAUCUGGAAAACAGUUACAGCAACAGGCUCCUCUCAUCAGACGGCAGUGCUGGUCGUUUCCUCACUGGUUUGCGGGGAAGGCUGGGCAGAAAAAGGAUGCAACCUUGUUCUCAACCACUUGCUAUCUCGUGAUUCAGGGAUUGGAUGAGUCUCUAUGGUUUGUUUUGCCCUGAAGAGCAGAAGGCUUCUGUCCCAACUGGUGUUGCCAAAGCAACAUAUUAAUUCCAUGCCAUGAUCCUGGGUCAAGAUCUGCACAAUCUGAUUGGGCAUGUCACCUCGGAUGGCAAGGGAGUGGAAGUGGUCAAAAUCAUGGAGUCCCAGCUUUCGGAGACGCCUUGCAGCUGCCCGGUAACACUUCCAGGGUUGGGGCUCCACAAGGAGGUAGUGGCAGAGGGAGGAAAGAUGGGCCAGGAACUCCCAUAGGCCAUGGUCUCCAUGAUUCAGAUGAAUCCACAUGGUUAUUGACAUGCAGAAGCCAAUGUCAAAAACUGAACGUCCAAAUUGGCUUAAGAAAGAGCUCAAGAGAACCUUCCGGGUCCUUUGAUUCAUGAAGUCCAGGGUGAUAAAAGUCAAGGCAUCAGGAAAAGGACAUUCUUUUUCGGCUCGCUUCACCAGGACUGGAUCUAUGUCGCAGCAGAGGAGACGGAAUUCUCUUGAGGCAUCUGAGCAGGUUUCCCCGUCAGGUAGGGAGAGGAAGUGUUUGUAUAGAGCCACACUCAGAUCCUAGAGGAAUCCAAAACAGCUUUGUCACUGCAGUUCUCAAUCAGUGAAUGGAAGAGAAAUCUGUAUCAUUCUCCCACUGAGAAUGCCACUUACCUCUGGCUGUAUAGGAUGUGAGGUUCCUAAACCAUAACCUAAAGAGGUUGUGCAAAAAUUUUCUACAGAGUAGGCUCUCAGUGCCCUCCAGGGGUCACAUGCUGUAAUGCAUCAUCCCCAUAUUUUCCUGACACUGAUGAUAGAUUGGGUUGUAUAGCUGAAAGUUACAGCCAAAUGGAUGCAGCAAAGGAACCUACAGCAGUAUUUCCCAGCUUAAGUAAUAUGCUGAUAAACUCACUCUUUUUCUGGGUAUCUCAAGACCCCAGGGCGGAAGAAAGGGGUCCAGAGGCAUAACCAGUGUCUCUUACCAGGAAAGUGAGGAAUACAGCAAGCACAAUCUUACAAAAACCUGCUUCUCAGACCCGCGGUGGGGGAAGUCUGGAUUCCAAAGUCCUCAUUCAGCCUUCACUAAAGCUUCAAUUUUACUGUCUUAGGAUUCACCACCUCCUUCUGAGACAUUCUGCUUCUAUAACCAUCAUUGCUAAAAGUCACUGCUAACAACCUUCUAGACAAGUCCAAUGAUUUGUGAUUUUUACCACAUUAGCACCUUUUUUACUCUUAA
ensembl:lncRNA BCDIN3D-AS1 BCDIN3D antisense RNA 1